GAUGAACGCUGGCGGCGUGCCUAAUACAUGCAAGUCGAGCGAACAGACGAGGAGCUUGCUCCUCUGACGUUAGCGGCGGACGGGUGAGUAACACGUGGAUAACCUACCUAUAAGACUGGGAUAACUUCGGGAAACCGGAGCUAAUACCGGAUAAUAUAUUGAACCGCAUGGUUCAAUAGUGAAAGACGGUUUUGCUGUCACUUAUAGAUGGAUCCGCGCCGCAUUAGCUAGUUGGUAAGGUAACGGCUUACCAAGGCGACGAUGCGUAGCCGACCUGAGAGGGUGAUCGGCCACACUGGAACUGAGACACGGUCCAGACUCCUACGGGAGGCAGCAGUAGGGAAUCUUCCGCGAUGGGCGAAAGCCUGACGGAGCAACGCCGCGUGAGUGAUGAAGGUCUUCGGAUCGUAAAACUCUGUUAUUAGGGAAGAACAAAUGUGUAAGUAACUAUGCACGUCUUGACGGUACCUAAUCAGAAGGCCACGGCUAACUACGUG
rnacentral:rRNA from 1 species